GCCAAAGUAGCCCAAUUGGUUAGGGCAAGUGCUAGGAAGUGUGGUCUCAAUAAGUGGCACAUGGUCAUGAGUUCGAAUCCUAUCAUUGAUG
rnacentral:tRNA from 1 species